ACACUGACGACAUGGUUCUACACGCCUGUUUAUCAAAAACAUGCUCUUUUUGAAUAUAAUUUAAAGUAGGGCCUGCCCACUGAGAAUUUAAAGGGCCGCAGUAUCUUAACUGUGCAAAGGUAGCAUAAUCAUUAGUUUUUAAUUGAAAGCUGGAAUGAAUGGUUUGAUGAGAAAAUAGCUGUCUACUAAAUAAAAUUAUUAAUUUUAUUUUAGAAGUAAAAAAGUACUUUAAAUUUUUU
rnacentral:rRNA from 1 species